GAUGAAGAACGUAGCGAAAUGCGAUACGUAAUGUGAAUUGCAGAAUUCAGUGAAUCAUCGAAUCUUUGAACGCAUAUUGCGCUCUCUGGUAUUCCGGAGAGCAUGCUUGUUUGAGUAUCAGUAAACACCUCAACUCCCUUUUCUUUUUUGAAAUUGGAGCUGGACUUGAGUGAUCCCAACGCUUUCUUCCAAGAAAGUGGCAGGUUGCUUGAAAUGCAGGUGCAGCUGAACUUUUCUCUGAGCUAUAAGCAUAUCUAUUUAGUCUGCCUAAAAAACAGAUUAUUACCUUUGCUGCAGCUAACAUAAAGGAGACUAGUUCUUGUGCUGACUGAUGCAGGAUUCACAGAGACAGCUUCGGCUGACUUUGUAAACUCGAUCUCAAAUCAAGUAAGACUACCCGCUGAACUUAAGCAUAUCAAUAAGCGGAGGA
rnacentral:misc_RNA from 1 species